UACGAAGGGGGCAAGCGUUGUUCGGAAUUACUGGGCGUAAAGGGCGCGUAGGCGGCCGAUCAAGUCAGGCGUGAAAUUCCCGGGCUCAACCUGGGGGCUGCGCUUGAUACUGAGUGGCUUGAGUGCAGGAGAGGAAUGCGGAAUUCCAGGUGUAGCGGUGAAAUGCGUAGAUAUCUGGAGGAACACCGGUGGCGAAGGCGGCAUUCUGGACUGUAACUGACACUGAGGAACGAAAGCCAGGGGAGCAAACGGG
rnacentral:rRNA from 1 species